GUGAAAAUGAAAGAGAGAGAGAGAAAGAAAGAGAGAGGAAAAAAAUGUUGUGAAUGGAGUCACUUUUUUUGCUGCUGUUUGUUUUCUUUUCUGUUUCUUCUUUAGAACGUACCCGCAAUCAUAUUUUUUCCUAAACCACGGAUCAUGA
rnacentral:RNase_P_RNA from 14 species